UGUAUCGAGUAAUCUCAAUUUCUACCAAAUAAAAAAAAUAAAUAAGUUUUUAUUUAAAUAAAAUUGCACAGUUCAAUUUUAUGCAUUUUGAUAUGCAAUUUUAACAUGAAUAUUUUUUUAAAGUGCAGAAAACACGACAAAAAUACUGAUUAAGAAAAUCAUUUUUGCUGUUCUGAUAUGAAUGCAUGUUCUGUCCUUUCAUUUCUCUCAUUGUUCCCAGUGAGACGUGGGCAUUAAAUGUCCCUCUAUAGAAAGCCAGUGUGGGCGCAACUCAUUCUGGUUUUCAUGCUCUUAUGUAAGGCUGUGCACUUUUCCUUGUUGCCUACACGCUACCUGUUACCUUUUUUGGAAGACUUGAGCGGAGAACAUGUUUGCACUAACACACAAAUGUCAAAACAACAGCACAAUAACAUGCAAAAUGACAAACACAAUUAGUGCUGUUUAUAUGCAUGUGAAUGCACAAAUGUUUGCUUUGUAAAAAAACACUAUUUUUGAUAUUUUGGGAAAUCAAAACUGCUCCAUUUUACUCCUUUGAACCAAGUGAAUGUCAUGUUUGCUUUGAUUGUUUUAGGAUUAUAAGUGAAAGAUCAUGAAGAAACAACAGCGUGUGAGAUCACGAAUAUUCAUUAGAGACGUCUGCUUCAGUCGGAUUCAUUUCUCUCGUUGCAUGUUUUGAAGCGUGUGCUAGAAACUUUGGAUUGUUAGAGAGCACCUCUUUUACGACUACAACGGUGAAUCUCAUGAAACCGGUCAAGAACACGUCCAAGUCAUAUUUCAAACCAGAAAAUGAAGCAUAUUUAGUAACACUUUCUAUGAAGCCCACAUUUAUAAUGCAUGAUACAACAUUCAUAAUAUCUCUUAUAAUAGGUUAUAACUACAGUUAUAACACAUUAUAAGACUUCCCCUAUUCAUAGUUAUAUUUGAGAGUAUAAUGCAUUAUAUAGGUAUUAUACUGCAUUCAUAAUGUCUCUUAUAACAGGUUAACUUCUCAUAAACAAUUAUAACUACAGUUAUAACACAUUAUAAGACUUCCCCUAUUCAUAGUUAUAUUUGAGAGUAUAAUGCAUUAUAUAGGUAUUAUACUGCAUUCAUAAUGUCUCUUAUAACAGGUUAACUUCUCAUAAACAAUUAUAACUACAGUUAUAACACAUUAUAAGACUUCCCCUAUUCAUAGUUAUAUUUGAGAGUAUAAUGCAUUAUAUAGGUAUUAUACUGCAUUCAUAAUGUCUCUUAUAACAGGUUAACUU